GAAAGCUGGGGAAAGGCCCCAAAGCGAUCAAAGAUGGGGAAGAAGCUGAGAAGAGAAGAAGAAGAGGAAUUGCAAUUGACCGAAGACGAACGACGCGCGUUGCGUGGAAGCAAAUUCGCCCCUCUCCCAUCUCAGCCGUCCAUUUCUCGAUCACACCCAAGGCUGGCCCAUCCAGGUGGGCCACUCACCACCAACAAGGCGGCGGCGUUGGCGAAAUUCCUCGACAGGAAGCUCAAAGAGCCCGGUGGACUGUCUUCGAUAAAUCCAGAUCUUGUCGAACUCGCCGUGAAGAAUGCCAAAGACACUCUCAAAGCCGCUGGUGGGACGUCGAGUUCAGGAACAAUAGUUCGACAUGUUGACUCCUUUGGCGACUCCAUUGAGGAUUCUGAUGAAGAUAAAGAAGACGUUCACAACCAAGUGGAAGGAACUAAGCAGAAGAAACAUAAGAAGCAUAAGAAAAAGAAAAGGAAGAAGGCUGUGGAAAGCACAGAAACUACAAAUACGACAAAGCACAGAAAGAAGUCCAAAUCAUGACCUGACUAGAAGGAUAACCUGAGCCAGAACUAUAUCGGUCCAGUACUUGCAAGGAUGGACAGGAAUUAAUACUACCAGCAUGUCACAGGAAAGGAAGUAGAGAUCAUUUGAUUGGUCGGACGAUCUUCACCAUGCAAAAAUGCAGCUACCUCGUGUUCAAUACAGCUCUAUUCGCUAUUACCAUCAUCAUCUUUUUCCGUCUGCAGCGGCAGCAUUUCUCUUUGUACAUACAAUAUAGAUACAGAUAGAGAUUUAAGUAGACGCCAAAUCUAUAACUUAGCAUUUACAAGUGAUAACUAACUACUAAUAAAGCCCUUUUACAUCCACAAGCAUUUUUUUUAAAAUGGAACAUCCAUCUCUUUUUCCUCCAACUACUUUGUAUAAGCAGUGACUGGCUUUUUUAGCGAGGCCUCGAGAGACUUUGGAUCGGCAACAGGAGCACUGCAUGUGAAAUUCUGGCAGACAUGGG